rnacentral:rRNA from 1 species
CAGGACGAACGCUGGCGGCGUGCCUAAUACAUGCAAGUCGAGCGAUGAUUAAAGAUAGCUUGCUAUUUUUAUGAAGAGCGGCGAACGGGUGAGUAACGCGUGGGAAAUCUGCCGAGUAGCGGGGGACAACGUUUGGAAACGAACGCUAAUACCGCAUAACAAUGAGAAUCGCAUGAUUUUCAUUUAAAAGAAGCAAUUGCUUCACUACUUGAUGAUCCCGCGUUGUAUUAGCUAGUUGGUAGUGUAAAGGACUACCAAGGCGAUGANACAUAGCCGACCUGAGAGGGUGAUCGGCCACACUGGGACUGAGACACGGCCCAGACUCCUACGGGAGGCAGCAGUAGGGAAUCUUCGGCAAUGGGGGCAACCCUGACCGAGCAACGCCGCGUGAGUGAAGAAGGUUUUCGGAUCGUAAAACUCUGUUGUUAGAGAAGAACGUUAAGUAGAGUGGAAAAUUACUUAAGUGACGGUAU